AGGCUAGUAGCGUAGGGGUUGUCGCGCUCGCGUUGCAUUUUGACAUACAAAUUUUCUAUUGCGAAAGGUCUCCGGUUCAAAUCUGAACUAGUCCA